rnacentral:misc_RNA from 1 species
GGAAGGAUCAUUAAAAAUGCGGGGGGAGCUCCUUUGGGGGCUUUCUUUCUAUUUUUUCUGUGCACUGUUUUUUUUGAGGGGGCAUCCUUUAUUGGUUCCUCUUCAGCCCUGGGCCAGUUCGUUUUUUCCUUUGGGAGAAAAUCGGCUAGCCCAGUGUUCUCUCUGCAAAGAGGGGACAACAUAUAACUAUUCUGACUGAACCACAAAGAAAUUUGUUAACAAUAAACAACUUUCAGCAAUGGAUCUCUCGGCUUUCGUAUCGAUGAAGAACGCAGCAAAUCGCGAUAUGUAGUGUGAUCUGCCCAUAGUGAAUCAUCAAAUCUUUGAACGCAUCUUGCACCCCUGGGUAUUCCUGGGGGUACGCCUGUUUCAGUAUCAAUUUAUUCUUCCCAAGCUCAAUUUACUUGUUCUUGGGGAAAAAUCACCAUUGGCCUCGAGACUGGGCUUCACCGCCCACUUCCCGGCUUAAAUUCGGCUAGUUUUUUCUAACUGGUAGUUACCUUUUUGGUAGAUUUAUCUGCUUCAAAAUUAUCCCUAUCAGCUAAAUGAAACUCCCUGGGUCUUUCGGCCCAGUCAACUCUUUAUCACUUGAUCUUAAAUCAGGCGGGAUUACCCGCUGAACUUAAGCAUAUCAAUAAGCGGAGGAAAAGAAAAUAACAAUGAUUCCCCCAGUAACGGCGAGUGAACAGGGAAAAGCUCAAAGUUGGAACCUCCUGGCCCUAGGCCUGGCGGAUUGUAAACUAAAGCUCUCGAGUAGUUUGGCUAGCCCAGUAAUCAAGUUCUCUGGAAAGGGACGACAAAGAGGGUGAAAUCCCCGUUUUUGGCUGGAGCAUAGUCUUGCGUUUGCUUGGAAGCGAAGAGUCAGGUUGUUUGGUAUUGCAGCCUAAAGCUGGAGGUAAAUCUCUCCUAAAGCUAAAUAUUGACGAAAGACCGAUAGCGAACAAGUACCGUGAGGGAAAGAUGAAAAGCACCUUGAAAAGGGGGUCAAAAAGUACGUGAAAUUGCUGAAAGGGAACCGUAUGAAAUCAGCCUGUCCCUUUGGUAAUCAACCUGGACUUUGGUCUGGGUGCACUUGCCAGUGGGUACAGCCUGCGACAAUUUGAUUUGGGGGAAAAAAUCAGGGGGAAUGUGGCCUCGGCUUCCGGUCGUGGUGUUAUAGCCCUUUGAAAAAUACCCUGGGUUGGAUUGAGGACUGCAGCGAGCCCUUUGGGGAUGAACUGUGGGCGCUUGGUUCGUGUUGGGAGGAAAUCUCUACUUCGGGUAGUGUUCUUCCAGCAUGGGCCAACCCGCCUACUUUUUCUUUUUCUCGCUUAGGUCGCAGGCCUAAUGAUUUUAUAUGACCCGUCUUGAAACACGGACCAAGGAGUCCACCAUGGUUGCGAGUCUUUGGGUGUAAAAACCCAUAGGCGGAAGGAAACUGACCUAGAUAUGAAGGCCGCAAGGCUGGCAAUAUCCUCCAGCGAGGACGUUUUAUACUGAAUUGACUGAGAGAAAGCACCUAUGAUGGGACCCGAAAGAUGGUGAACUAUACUUGAAUAGGGUGAAGCCAGAGGAAACUCUGGUGGAAGCUCGUAGCGAUUCUGACGUGCAAAUCGAUCGUCAAAUUUGAGUAUAGGGGCGAAAGACUAAUCGAACCAUCUAGUAGCUGGUUCCUGC